UCCUCUUGCCUCACGACAAGAGGCCCUGGA
rnacentral:sRNA from 1 species